rnacentral:rRNA from 1 species
GUGGGGAAUAUUGGACAAUGGGCGAAAGCCUGAUCCAGCCAUGCCGCGUGUGUGAAGAAGGUCUUCGGAUUGUAAAGCACUUUAAGUUGGGAGGAAGGGCAGUAAGUUAAUACCUUGCUGUUUUGACGUUACCGACAGAAUAAGCACCGGCUAACUUCGUGCCAGCAGCCGCGGUAAUACGAAGGGGGCGAGCGUUAUUCGGAAUCACUGGGCGUAAAGCGUGCGUAGGCGGUUUUGUAAGUUAGGAGUGAAAGCCCAGGGCUCAACCUUGGAAUUGCUCUUAAAACUGCAAGGCUCGAAUCUCGGAGAGGAUAGCGGAAUUUCCAGUGUAGCAGUGAAAUGCGUAGAUAUUGGAAGGAACACCAGUGGCGUAAGCGGCUAUCUGGACGAGUAUUGACGCUGAGGCACGAAAGCGUGGGGAUCAAACAGGAUUAGAAACCCUAGUAGUCC